rnacentral:lncRNA from 1 species
AUUUCUUUUUUACGGCCCCGAUCUCACUCCCUAUUUUGUCUCAUAUGCGACAUUAACUAGUUCAUCUUAAUUACCGCCGUCUAUUCAUCAUUAUAGCCAACCUCGGAACUCGCUUCGAUGCGACGGUUCGACGCGACGGCCUUUUCUUCUUCACCAAGCUUUUGUUUCUUUUGUUUCUUUUUUGUUUUUUCUUUGUCUUCUCCGAUUUCUUUUAAUCUCCACCUGGCUUCUUUUCUCCUUUCCUUUUCUGACUAAUG